UGCGUAGGGUGCGAGCGUUAAUCGGAAUUACUGGGCGUAAAGCGUGCGCAGGCGGUUUUGUAAGCCAGAUGUGAAAUCCCCGGGCUUAACCUGGGAAUGGCAUUUGGGACUGCAAGGCUGGAGUGUGGCAGAGGAGACUGGAAUUCCUGGUGUAGCAGUGAAAUGCGUAGAUAUCAGGAGGAAUACCGAUGGCGAAGGCAGGUCUCUGGGCUGACACUGACGCUCAUGCACGAAAGCGUGGGGAGCAAACAGG
rnacentral:rRNA from 1 species